AACAACCAAACCGACGACGUGGCCAAACGUAAAUAUACAUGCAUGUUCACAAUUCUCCCAUUAUGUCAGACCUGCCUGCAUAACUUUAAUUUAUUUCAUCUAAUUUUAGUAAUAAUACGGUGUUGCUAAUAGUAUCGAUAAGACUAUGUCACUUGCAACCGGCUUGUUCAGGAUGGGACAACCCCCAUUUCAAUAGAAACAUUUCCACGUUUGUAUCUUAACACACAAGGCUAUGCAUUAUUCUUCCCAGAAGAUGUCAUGGGUCAGAAUAAUAAAAUACAAUAAUCACUUCAAUCAUUCUGUGUCCAUACUUUUGAUGAUUAAUUGCAAGUGCCUGUAGAUUCUAGGCAACAUUUUUCAACUAACCGGUUUCAUCUGCAGCUGAUGGGUGAGUGAAUCCAUAACAUCACCACAAACGUCUUUUCAAGCCAGGCAACCUCAGCGUGAAGAGAUCCAGAAGGCAGCAGCCACACUGCAGGAAAAAUGCCCCCAUGUGACCAUCAAUGAGGAUGCAUUGUUUGACGAGGUUACUGGCCUGCAAGAGUUCCUAAAGGGGGGAUCGCUUGAAUAAUGGAAAACAUCGGAGACACCGCUUAGUCAGAGAUGGAGUUACCCACUUCAAAGAGAACCACAUCCCACACUCUAACCUGGCUAGAUUAGCGUCUGUUGUCAUGUGCUUACCUGGAAGUAAUACACCAGUCGAGAGAGUGUUCUCCCAAAUGAAUGCUCUAUGGACAGCAGCAAGAAAUAGUUUCCCUGUUCCUACCAUCAAGGCCAUGCUUAUUGUGAAGACAAACGCCAACCUCCCCUGCCAGGAGUUCAUGGAGAAGCUGGCCAAAGACAGAGCAAUCCUGAAGAAGAUACAUUGUUCUGAGAAAUAUACAGAUUAGGUUGGAAUAAGUGUUUCCCUGGCACCCAAAAGUACUUGUUUCAUUUCGAAUGCAAAGCCGGACAGGAAAAUGGUCCAUAUCACACACUUAUCAAGAGAACAUCCCUGGUCAUCCCUACUUCCUCUGAUCUGGAGGACUCACUAAACAGAGAACAUCCCUGGUCAUCCCUACUGCCUCUGAUCUGGAGGACUCACUAAACAGAGAACAUCCCUGGUCA